AUGGUUAUAAGUGCCUGUUGGGUGAUGUCAACCAGAUGCUUGCCCGUUUGGUUGGAGGAGAGAGAGCAGCUUGGAUGGAGUGUGUCUUUGUGCUGAUGUGAAAAAGGCCCACUCAUUAUGAUUCCAGGCAGGGUUCUGGUCCCAUGGCAACCUGGGUUCAAAACAACUCCUGGAAAGGGGAGAGAGGAGCAGGAAGACACCAGACGGAGACCUCUGGGCCAAACUCUAAACAUCCAUUAGGGCCCUGCGCCCCCCAUAUCCACCCAUCGCUCUACCAGUCCCUGUCUCCGCUUUCAUCUUGCACUUCCCCUUUAUGCACCUUGGAUGAGAGGAGCUGUUGUUGAGCUUCUAUCUGCUGCUGCUGUC